rnacentral:lncRNA from 1 species
AUUCCUUGUUCUUCCUUCUUCGUUGACUAUUCAUUUUUUUGGGAAUUCGUGUUAUCCCGUGCCUUUUGUUUGUUUUUGCUCGAAUUUCUGUGGGUUUCGUUUGUUUUUGUGAUUUGUUUUGCGUUCUGCUAGAUGGUACCCCAACCUAGGGCUUUUAUUUUCUCUUUUCGCAUUUUCUUAUUGCUUACGAUUUGUGUCGCGCUGAUUACUUAUGCUAAGAAAUUCGCUGCAAAGGUUUGGGCUUUUUAUCUUCUGAAUUCGGAAAAUUGUCUCUCUGCUGAGUGUUGAGUCGCCUGUUAGGGUUUUCUAGAUGUGUUCUUUGUUUCCGUGUAAGGAAAAGGAUUUUGAUAGGUUUGAACUGUAUGUCUUGCAAUAUUCCUUUGACAUGUUUAUCUCGUUGCAUUUGUGAAGUUUUGUGGUUUCUGCAAGGGGUUGCAUUCAUUUUUGCAGUUUGCCUGCAGUAAAGAUUUUAUUUAUUUAUUGUAAAAAAAAAAAUUUAUUUAUUUUGUAGUUACGAGAAAGUUUCCGCUUUUCUAGCCAAUAAUUGUGACCGAAGAAGUUUGCUGCACAUGUAACACUGCCAUUUUGUGCAAAUAUGUUGAGCCUUACUUUCUGGAAUUUUCUUUGUUUCUUGGCUUUUGUUUUAGAUUUGAUAUGAUGGGUAUCAUGCUAUUGUACUUCAUUGUUCCUGUUCUUAGUGUUUGUAUAUUAUUGAUUUUUUCUUAUACAUUUGGGCAUGGAAACUCCAUGAAGAUUGACUUAUUGUUUAUUGGCGGCUCCAUUUGUUCUAAUAUGAUAUCGUGUGUUGCUUUAUUGUCGGUUCACUUGGUUGUUUUUAUUUGAUUUAUUCUGUGGUAGUAUUAGUAUGUGCAGCGUUUACCAAAUAACAUUUUUUUUUUCACAAUCAUAGAUGAACUUCUACUAUUUUCUUUUUAAAACUACAGGAAAACUGGGUUAAGUUGGAUUACUGGUGAAUAAAGACAUCAAUCUACAUUUUCCAAGAUUCUUUUAUAAAUAUUUUUUCAUGGGAAAUCAUGCUUGUUUUAUUCUUGUAUCUUAAUCAACUUUCACUGCUUAAUUUAAUACCCUCCUGGUUCCCCAAAACUAAAGUAGUGAGAAAAGAGAAGUGGCAGAAAUCAUAAAAUAUCUUCAGUUAUUUCAUGUUUGAGCCCAACAUAAUUUCUCAUUCUCAGAAUUUUGUCCUAAUGCUAUUAGAGGGUUCGGUUAGCCUGUGAUAAUGACCAUAUUCUCUGGUUUUCCUUUACCAUAAUUUUUGCUGACUGUGGUUCUUUUAAUAAAUUGCAUAAUUUUGUUAAACUGAAAAUAUUUGGUUUUGUAUGUCACAGUAGAUGAGGUUGGACUCCAGGAUUGUGAGUAAAGUUAUCAUUCUCCAUUUGACAAGAUACCUUUUACACGUGGCCAUUCUUCAGGAAACACGAAUAUUGAAUAGUUUUACUCUUGUAUCAGAAAUCAGGAUCACCUGCCAAGUUCUUAACAAACAGUCCUCCCCGUUCCCCUAAAGUAGGUGAAAAAAUGAGUUGCUGAAAUUAUAAACAAAUCUCGAAUAAUUUAGUGUUUGAGAUCCCAGAACAGUUUCUUGUUCAAUUCUCAAUUUCCCCCGUCCUGUUUAGUUUUUAGGUGUUCAGCUAAAACUGUCCCAAACUUAAUGGUAAUUUAGUACUUAUUUGAUGUGGUUCUUUGCUGGGCUUUGGGCAUUUCAACGCUUGUGGUAAGAAAGGGAUCAUAUAGCUUUACGCAAAUAGUGCAACUUCUGUGUUAAUGUAUUAUUUGCAACAAAAUCAGCUUAAUCAGCAACUUUUUGAGCUGUUUGUUAUUCUUCCUUGUGACUUUUUAAGCUGCUUAUUUCCUUGGAUAAAUUCUACUGUUUUUUUAUACUGAAUACGUUAUUUAUGAGAUGCUAGAAUGAUGCCUGGCAAUCUACAUGAAACAUUUCAUGUUACUUUUGCAGGUGAAACUUUCAAUGAGCAUGAAAAAUCAUUUUAUUAAUACUCUUUUUAGUUGUUUACAUUCAUUUUCUAUUACUUUCUUAUUUGAGUCGUUUGGUUUUGAGGAUGGAAAUAGAGAUGAAACAUUUUCUUUUUUUCUAUCCCUUACAUCGGAGUAACCCACCAUGUAACAUACUUUAUCAUAUUUGUUGAAGUAUGCACUUAUUUCCCGAGGUUUACAAAACAUCAAAACCUUUACAAAAUCUAAGCAAUCACCAAAUGAAAACUAUUUUGGAACACUUGUGACCCCCAUGGAAAUUUUUCUAAGGUGAAUCAAUUGAGAGUUUGAGCUAUCCAGUUGUGGUCCGUUAGAUCAUUGUAGAGAUACUGGCAUUUAUUAUACAUAUUUCAUAUAUAAUAAGUUAUUGCAUAUCUUUAGGGUGAUCUAAUGCACAGAAGGAAUCUUGAGAACUCAACCUCCCUACAAACUCUGAAAAUAAACAAACUACAAAAGGGUCUUUAUAUAAAUACAAAACUAGAUCGGUUUUAUGUAAGUUUUGUAAGAAGGUGUUGUCACCUUAUGUCCCGAGAUAAACUCUGUGUCCUUUUGCUGCAUGAUAUUGUCUAUUUAUUUUCUAUAUUGCAGUUUUAGAUUAGUAAAUGGUUCAUAUACAGUCCUCAAGAAAACUAUUUUGGAACACUUGUGACCCCCAUGGAAAUUUUUUUAAGGUGAAUCAAUUGAGAGUUUGAGCUAUCUAGUUGUGGUCCAUUAGAUCAUUAUAGAGAUACUGGCAUUUAUUAUACAUAUUUCAUAUAUAAUAAGUUAUUGCAUAUCUUUAGGGUGAUCUAAUGCACAGAAGGAAUCUUGAGAGCUCAACCUCACUACAAACUCUGAAAAUAAACAAACUACAAAAGGGUCUUUAUAUAAUACAAAACUAGAUAGGAUUUUAUGUAAGUUUUGUAAGGAGGUGUUGUCACCUUAUCUCCCGAGAUAAACUCUGGGUCCUUUUGCUGCAUGAUAUUGUCUAUUUAUUUUCUAUACUGCAGUUUUAGAUUGGUAAAUGGUUCAUAUACAGUCCAUAUGUGUGCAUUUUUUGUGUUUAUGGUCACAGUAUGAGCCUCGGAUACUUGCCUUCACAUUUUUCGUCUCCUCCACACCAUUCCAUGAACUUUGACUUUUCCCAGGUAUAGCCUGAAUGGAAGAAUUAAAGAGGGAAAGAAAAGCCUUCUGACUGAAAAAGGUUAAUUUGGUGCCAUGCUACUCUUUUCCUAAAGUUUUAACAGUAAAACUGCUAGCUUUUAACAGCCUUUGAUGUUUAAAUAGCCACAUAUAUGCUUAAAACUGUGAAAACAUUUUUUCAAAUAAAGGGAACAAGAAAACAUAAUCAAGUUUUGUCAAGGGUUUAAUUUGCUAUUCAAAUAAUAAGUUGUGUUUUAAUUGCAUUUGUACCAAAUACGUCAGUGUAAUGUUAUUUGUGGAAGUCAAUAACAUAAACAAGAACCUUGUAUGUAUUAAAGUUGAAUGUAUUACUGUUGUUAAUUUGUUGUGUGUUUAAGCAUAUAAGAUUAUUCAUAAAUCAUAUUUCCC